CAAUAGACCAUUCCCGUCUGACCUAACCCCCCUUUUUUAUAUUUUUCUUCGAAAGAUAAUUGAUUUCCAUGAUCAUUGCCGCUUUUGAAAUUUUUUUAUAUGUAUUCCUGAUUUUCAUACAAUUUUUUGAAAACUCGAAAAAUCUCUCCAAUUUGAAAUUAAAAUCACCGUGCGAAGUAGUGUGUACACCCCUUGCAUGUGGAGAUGUUUUUUACUGUGGAGAGAUUCCAACCCUAACGUCGUUUUGGCAUGUUUACAUUUCAAACUGUCAAACCCCCAUCGCCUCACCUCUUGCUGGCUGAUUGUCCGUGAAGAGAAUCUUCGUCACAAACAUCGUCCCAUUUCGAUAUUACCGGAACCGUGGCCGUGGGACCGACGAAAAAACAACGACGGCAUAGCUGCCAACAAAGAAAGCAGAGUCACUUCAUCUGUCCAGCGGAUCACCUGCUGUUUGAUCCCCUACUAUUGCCAGUGGCCACAGCAGGAGUAUUGCUUUCUGUGGUCAAUUCAUCCGGAUCCAUGUCGGAAGAGCGGAGGUCCGUUAAUCUACCACAAUCCUCACCGUUCUCCUGUUUCCAGCAAGAAGGCUUUCGAGCAAAACGAGCUCCUCGCAGUAUUCCAGUCAGUGUCAAUCUCAUACAUUGCCGCAGCAUGCCACGACAUCCAUCCAUGCCGCUCGGCUCUUGGCAGUUUCGACGUAUCCAGGUCCAUGCCAUCAACCUGGAACCGGCACACAGUUCCUUGAAAACCCCGCCCCUUUCGAUGAACUUUUCGAUCACAUUCAUCGGCACUGUCUUCAAGUUCCUCGGUUUCUUCCUCACGAGGGUCAUCUACCUACCACAGGAAGUGUCCAAUGACCCACAGAAAUGCAACGCGGCUAUACAACCAAAGGAAAAAAAUUGUUCGCGGAAACUCCGCAACCGGCUCAGAUUCCAAACUUCCCUGGAUGUCUCGUGCUAAAUUUCGUGUAGGAUCACCCUCAUUCUUGUUUACGGGCGUAUCCGCUUUCGAACGUAUUUGGUUCGUUCGAAUCCGUAGCCCAUUUGAUUUUGCUGGCGUAAACGGGAAUGCGGAUGAUUUUCGUUCGAAAGUGGAUUCGAUCGAAAACACGAAUGAGGGUGAAUCUCCCAGAGGUAGUCCACUGCUCCCAACUGUAAGAAUCGUAGAAUUUAUGAAUAAUUUACUGUUUCUUUUCCAGGAUUUCAAGGAUUAUAGCCUGGUAUGGACCGGGCAAUAUUCCCAAGCCUUCUUGCCCUAUUGGCCUCAGCUUCCAACGGCAUGAAUAUUGUGAAUUCCAAUGGAGGUGAAAUCACUGGAAGAACUAUCCAGAAACCAUAUUACGUUUUUGCCCAUAUUAUCCGAGCUCACGGGAGGGGAAAACACAAAAUUCCUACUGCAGAAAGGUUUCAACGGCCAGUUAAAAGUUUUGGGGGAUUCGGAUGGAAAUGGAACCACCAUGGAUUUCGACUAAGCUACAACGAAAACUGCACCGCCUUUCCUGGAAGUGAUACCACCACCAACAGUGGGCAACGUCAAUCCGGAAGUGUUCGUGGACGGAGCAGCAGCUCCAUGUUCCAGAAGAUCACCUUCGCCGAACGGCUACGGAAGCUGCAUGAGUGCACGGAAAGGCUGUACCGCUUCCUGACUCCGCUGUGCGUCUACCAAGUGGAAAACGUGGAUGACCGGUUUAAGACGAUCGAUGAGUGUAGCUGCCAUCGGGUUUGAGAAUGCUUGAACUAUAGUUCUCAUAUAGGACAGAAGCCACACGCCGAGCUGCGGAUGAGGAGAUGCUCCAGGAA